rnacentral:lncRNA from 1 species
CCGCUUUGCGCGCCAGAAGAUGCAUCUUCUGGAACGGCAGCUGAGAAUCAGAGGGAGCCCUGAGCUUGUUUUCCUGCAACUAGAUGGUCCCAUCUGGGGGUGAUGGGAGACAGUGACAGAUCAUCAGACCUUGGAUUCUCAUAAGAAGCACGAAACCUAGAUGCCUCACGUGUGCAGUUCACAACAGGGUUCAUGCUCUUGUGCAAAUCUAAUGGUUCCUAAAGGGCCACAGACCGGUACUGGUCCUUGGCCCAGGGGUUGAGGACCCCUGUUCUAUAAGGUUGGGAGAGAGGCCUCAGAAGAAACCAACCCUGCCGAGACACCUUGAUCUCAGACUUCCAGCCUCCAGAACUGCGUGGUGAUGCGUUCCUGUUGAAGGCACUCCAACCGCAGUGCCUUGCCGUGGCAGCCCUCAACAACGAAUACAGAGUCUGUUGAACAAAAUGAAUCCAAAAUGUAUGCCCAAAGAUAGCUGCCAGGUCUAUGAAAACACCUGCUCUGAUACGAGGGGACGUGAACGACAGAUAGAUGGGAUUUCACCAUAUUGGCCAGGCUGGUCUUGAACUCAAGGUGAUCCGCCCACCUCAGCCUCUCAAAGUGCUGUGAUUACAGUCUCGGGUAUGUCUUUAUCAGCAGUGUGAAAAUGGACUCACUCCUGCCCUGUCUGGAUCUGGACAAGAGCCCACCACCCUGUUGGCAGUAGUCAGGUAGCUCUGCCCCUAAGAACCUGCAGCUUUUGGAAGAAAGGCACCCUGUGGUUUCAGAAGCCCAAGAGUCCCUGCAGCUGAGCACCCCCAGCCUGGUGCUUGGCAGGUGAUUGCCUCCUCACUUAGGAGAGGGA